rnacentral:misc_RNA from 1 species
UAAAUACACUGCACGCCUUUGCUUUGGCCCUCUUUCCUCUAGGGUUUUCUGCAUUGCCAAAUUCAAGAGCAUAAGGUUUUAGAGGCGGCAAUUCUCCUGCAAAGAUGGCGCGGCCGAUUUUUGUUGGAAACUUUGAGUACGAUAUUCGCCAAUCUGAGUUGGAACGCCUGUUCGGAAAGUACGGAAGGGUGGAGCGUGUGGACAUGAAAUCUGGUUUUGCCUUCGUUUAUUUUGAGGAUGAACGCGAUGCAGCUGAUGCUAUACGUGGACUUGACAAUACACCAUUUGGUUAUGACAGACGUAGGCUAUCAGUGGAGUGGGCU